UGGGCGACGGCCGAACCAGCCAUGGCCGCGUGUGUGUAGUGGUCUUCGGUUGUAAAGCACUUUAAGUUGGGAGGAGGGCAUUAACCUAAUACGUUGGCGUCUCGACGUUACCGACAGAUAAGCACCGGCUAACUCCGUGCCAGCAGCCGCGGUAA
rnacentral:rRNA from 1 species